rnacentral:rRNA from 1 species
AUACGGAGGGUGCAAGCGUUGUUCGAAAUCACUGGGCGUAAAGGGCGCGCAGGCGGAUUGGUCAGUCAGAUGUGAAAGCCCACGGCUUAACCGUGGAAGUGCAUUUGAAACUGCCAUUCUUGAGUACCAGAGGGGAAAGUGGAAUUCCCGGUGUAGAGGUGAAAUUCGUAGAUAUCGGGAGGAAUACCGGUGGCGAAGGCGACUUUCUGGCUGGAUACUGACGCUGAGGCGCGAAAGCGUGGGGAGCAAACAGGAUUAGAAACCCUAGUAGUCC